rnacentral:misc_RNA from 1 species
AAAAGGCGGCGGUUGCGGCGGCGAUUGGUUUCGUGACCGUCCCCGUUGCCUGUUCAUCUUCGGAUCGGCCUGUUUCCGCCGUUUUUCUGUCGCACCAUCUACUGAAAGCUUUUAAUGGCAACCAAAACCAUAAAUCUCAACAUUGAAGACGACUGUCUCUGCUCGGACAUCACUACAACUUGCUCUUUUCCUUUGGAACAGAAGGAUGUAGAAGAGACACAGUCGUUGUCUCUGAAUCGUCCAAAUGGAUACUUGAAAGGGGAGUCGCGGAUAGAGAGAGCGUGGUCUCAUUGGAAGAAGCUAGGCGAGCCCAAACUUAUAGUGGCACCAAUGGUUGACAACUCAGAGCUUCCUUUCCGUCUUCUAUGUCGAAAAUAUGGUGCAGAAGCGGCUUAUACUCCUAUGCUUCACUCGCGUUUGUUCAAUGAAGAUGAGAAGUAUCGGGCUAUGGAAUUUUCCACUUGCAAGGAGGACCGUCCACUUUUUGUUCAAUUCUGCGCAAACAAUCCAGACACUUUGCUGGAAGCAGCUCGAAAAGUCGAACCCUAUUGUGACUAUGUGGACAUCAACUUUGGGUGUCCUCAGCGGAUUGCAAAACGCGGGAAUUAUGGAGCUUUCCUCAUGGAUAACCUCUCUCUGGUCAAGUCUCUGGUAGAAAAGUUGGCAAACAAUCUUAAUGUUCCGGUAUCAUGCAAAAUUCGAAUUUUCCCUAAUUUGCAAGAUACACUUAGUUAUGCAAAGAUGUUGGAGGAUGCAGGUUGUUCUCUUCUAGCAGUGCAUGGGCGAACCAGGGAUGAAAAAGAUGGGAAGAAAUUCAGAGCCAAUUGGGAGGCCAUCAAGGCUGUCAGAAAUGUUGUUAGAAUUCCUGUCCUGGCAAAUGGUAAUAUAAGACACAUCGAUGAUGUACACAGUUGCUUGGAAGAAACUGGUACCGAUGGGGUACUUUCAGCAGAUCCUCUUCUUGAGAAUCCAGCCCUCUUUGCUGGAUAUCGAACUGCUGAAUGGGGAUUGGGUGUUGCAGGAAUGAAGGAAGACGAUAAGCUAGAUCAGGCUGAGUUACUGAUAGAAUAUUUGAGGUUUUGUGAGCGAUAUCCCGUGCCUUGGAGAAUCAUCCGUUCUCAUGUACACAAGUUGUUGGGAGAGUGGUUUAGGAUCCAGCCAAGUGUGCGAGAGGAUUUUAACAAACAAUACAAACUCACCUUUGAAUUUCUUUAUGAUUUAGUGAACCGAUUAAAGGAACUUGGGGUGAGAAUACCACUUUAUGUGAAGGAUACUGAGCAGGCAGUAUCUGCAAAUUGACUUGUUGCUCAAGUUCUGUUCUAAUCAGAAAGAUGGAGCCAGCUAUGGUGAAUCACCAGGUUAGUUUUCUCACUCAAGCUCGUGCUUGAAAAAUGUUGUACGCUCACUUAUGUUGGUCAGAGUAGGUUCAGGGUUAAACAUAUCUCAGCCUUUUACCUCAUGUUUUGUAUAAUUAUAUACUGACAUUUUUCUUGUAUCAUUGAGAUAAUUUACACUUAUUUUUCCCGUACAUCUUGAUUUGUA